GAUGAACGCUGGCGGCGUGCCUAAUACAUGCAAGUCGAGCGAACAGAUGAGGAGCUUGCUUCUCUGAUGUUAGCGGCGGACGGGUGAGUAACACGUGGAUAACCUACCUAUAAGACUGGGAUAACUUCGGGAAACCGGAGCUAAUACCGGAUAAUAUAUUGAACCGCAUGGUUCAAUAGUGAAAGACGGUUUUCUGGUCACUUUUAGAUGGAUCCGCGCCGCAUUAGCUAGUUGGUAAGGUAACGGCUUACCAAGGCAACGAUGCGUAGCCGACCUGAGAGGGUGAUCGGCCACACUGGAACUGAGACACGGUCCAGACUCCUACGGGAGGCAGCAGUAGGGAAUCUUCCGCAAUGGGCGAAAGCCUGACGGAGCAACGCCGCGUGAGUGAUGAAGGUCUUCGGAUCGUAAAACUCUGUUAUUAGGGAAGAACAAAUGUGUAAGUAACUAUGCACGUCUUGACGGUACCUAAUCAGAAAGCCACGGCUAACUACGUG
rnacentral:rRNA from 1 species